GACGAACGCUGGCGGCGUGCCUAAUACAUGCAAGUAGGACGCAGUUGCGAACGGGUGAGUAACGCGUAGGUAACUACCUAUUAGAGGGGGAUAACUAUUGGAAACGAUGGCUAAUACCGCAUACUAGUAGAUGGAACUACCUGGUAUUAGCUAGUAGGUGGGGGAAUGGCCUACCUAGGCAACGAUACAUAGCCGAGCCGAGAGGGUGAUCCGCCACACUGGGACUUGGACCAGGCCCAGACGCCUAAGGGAGGUAGCAGUAGGGAAACUUCCGGAAUGGGGGGAACCCUGACCGAGCAACGCCGCGGUAGUGAAGAAGGUUUUCGGAUUGUAAAGCUCUGUUGUUAAGGAAGCGGUACUUAACCAGAAAGGGACGGCUAACUACGUGCCAGCAGCCGCGGUAAUAC
rnacentral:rRNA from 1 species